rnacentral:rRNA from 1 species
AUUGAACGCUGGCGGCAUGCUCUACACAUGCAAGUCGAACGGUAACAGGCCUUCGGGUGCUGACGAGUGGCGAACGGGUGAGUAAUGCAUCGGAACGUACCCAGAGGUGGGGGAUAACGCAGCGAAAGCUGUGCUAAUACCGCAUGUGAUCUGAGGAUGAAAGCGGGGGACCGAGCAGCAAUGUUUGGCCUCGCGCCUUUGGAGCGGCCGAUGUCGGAUUAGCCAGUUGGUGGGGUAAAGGCCUACCAAGGCGACGAUCCGUAGCUGGUCUGAGAGGACGACCAGCCACACUGGGACUGAGACACGGCCCAGACUCCUACGGGAGGCAGCAGUGGGGAAUUUUGGACAAUGGGCGCAAGCCUGAUCCAGCAAUGCCGCGUGCGGGAAGAAGGCCUUCGGGUUGUAAACCGCUUUUGGCAGGAACGAAACGGUGUCCGCUAAUACCGGGCGCUAAUGACGGUACCUGCAGAAUAAGCACCGGCUAACUACGUG